UCCAUCCAAGAGUGUUUCAGUGAGACCCUGAAGGAGCCCACCCAACACCCACUGGACACAUGUGCUCUCAUGUGUCGAUGUUAAAAGUCAUCUGCAGUCAGACAACGCUUGAGCAUCACAGAUCGAGCAGCGUCUUCAGGAGACCUUCUGGAUCCUUGAAACAAGUCAUGGCGUCCUGGCCUCAUGCAGAUGGCAGACGGAUGGAGGAGCGGAGCAGAGCGGGGUGGGCCGUCUUACUCAAACUUUCUCACACUGUUUAUUGUCAUUGGCUCAGGAGCGCGCGUGUCUCUCUUUAUUUCCGCUGGACUCCAGCAGUUUGACUCUCAGCCACUGGAGGAUGAGACACCUGACCUGAUCACAGAAGAGGAUAAUGACAGUUCACAUCCCAGAACACUCAGAUGAACAUCAUCUGUGCGUCAGAAGAAGAGUUCUGUGUUGAUGAAGUGAACCUCUCACCCCAUCACUGGAACUAAUAACAUCUCAUUGAUGAAUCUAUCAUGAGCGUUGUUGUUUUUCUCAUGCGUUACGCUGAUGAAACCUAAAGAAUGUCUUUGGCUACCACAUCUCUGAGCAAUUUUCUAGAUGUUUUUGCAGGAUUCUUUCGGGACGGCCUGGAUGUUUUUUUAGCUUGUGCUCUUGGAGAACUCUUGGCAGAACAGUCGCUCUUGGGGAGUUUCACUACUGUUCCAAGAGUUCUUCAUUUAGAUGCUCGCUGUUGGUCUGUGCCGUGCCAGAAUCUCUCUAACCUUUUCCAGACCGAUAGCUAACUCCCUAUCCACAGUCCUUCUCAUUGUUGUGGGAUUUUUCUUUGAUCAAAGCCAAUUACGCUCGUUGAAUAUUCAGCAGGGCAAAAAACAACAAACGAGGGUGAGAUUGCGUGCGACUGGUUUAAAUCAACAAGUUUAUUUUAAUAUCUCUUGAUCUACAAGCUGGCGUUGGAUCUCAAAUCCACGUCCAGAGAACACGAGCAGAAUCAGUGGACGUAAAAUGUCAUGAAUGAGAUAAACAAGUGUCUGGAGUUGUGUCGCCAUGGAUAAUCACAAUCAGACAUCUGCAAACAGAGACGACAAUGUCUGAGAGGAUCACAACACAAACUGUUUAGUGUUAGAGAAGACAUUUAUAUUAUUUCAGUGUGUGAUCUGUGUGUGUGUGUGAUGUGUGUGUGAUCUGUGUGUGAUGUAUGUGUGUGUGUGUGUGUGUAGAUCUUGAUGAAGUGUUUGUGUGGCUCAUACGUGCAGUCACAUGUGCUCUCAUAUGGCUCACUAUCGCUGGACUGAUGUUGUGUUGAUGUAUUCAUGAAUCUAACAUAGUAAUGGGCGAUAUAAACGAUACAAAAUUGGCCUACGAUAGAGAUUUUAAUUCUAUUGCACUAUCGCGAUAAUGUAUGUUGAUGACGCGAAAUUUAGAUCCACGAGCUGCAGUCGGCUGAAUCAUCAUAUUCGUCAUCUUGAAUAAACAUGGCUGCGAAAACAGAGGAGCUCGUGAAAAAGACCGGCGCAACAUCUAUUAUUUGGACUUGGUUUGUAUUUAAGCCGUCCGACGAGCAGCAGAAAAAUAUACUCUGUAGAGUGUGUGGGGCAAAAGUUCCAGCUAAGAGCGGUAACACGACUAAUCUGUUCUACAAUGAUAGAUUCAGGCUUCAUCUAAGAACAACGUCUAAGAUACGUGCAGCUAUUUAUCUGAGUUUAUUAUAGGAGAGUGCGCGGGCGCCCUAGCGCGCGUACCCGCAAGCCGCUCCACUUUCCUCGUCUCGCGCAUGCAUUUCAGUAUCAAGUUAUUAAUAGCUAUAACGGACCCUCGCUGUGUUUGGGUAUUUACGGGGGCGAUAUUGUGUCAGUAAUUGAGCAACUGGAUGUCGGUGAGUCAGUAUGGCUCAGUGCCGCUCUCUCCAGUGAUACUCCACGAAGACCGCAGCGAGCGCGCCGAGAAAAGUCGCAUUGUAAAAUUAAGAGAUUUCAAUGAAAAAAGUCCAAACGAACCCUGUCUACGCUUCUAGAAAAGGUCUUAUCGGUGAAGUGAAAUCCACGCGGUAACGUUUAAAAUAUCCAUGUGGGGAAUGGGUUUGUCGAGCUAGCUUUGGGGCAACCAGCCAGCUGUUCGCGCGGCGUUCCUAUAUAAACUUACUUUCAUUUAGAACUUUAUAAUGUUUUCAUUUGAAGUAUAUGUGCACUACACUUGGAAGAAUUUUCUUUAUUUAAAAUAGCCAUGUCUAAUACUGGAAGUAUAUCCCUAAUUCACAGUGUGCGUUCCUUUAUUAACAAGACUGCAACUUGGGUGGCAUUUAAGAACCAAGGACUUAAACUAAGUAUAGUGCCUUUUAGAUGGAAAUACUUUUAUAUUCAUCUGCAACAUUUUGUUGCAUAGUUACAGUUAUGUUUUUGCACAAUAAAUGUUCUCAAAACGA